CCAACAGGGAUUGCCUCAGUAACGGCGAGUGAAGCGGCAACAGCUCAAAUUUGAAAUCUGGUCCUCUCCGGCCCCGAGUUGUAAUUUGUAGAGGAUGUUUCGGGUGCGGCGCGGGUCUAAGUCCUUUGGAACAGGGCGUCGUAGAGGGUGAGAACCCCGUAUGCGACCCGUGGCCAACCCCAUACGAAACCCCUUCGACGAGUCGAGUUGUUUGGGAAUGCAGCUCAAAAUGGGUGGUAAAUUUCAUCUAAAGCUAAAUACCGGCCAGAGACCGAUAGCGCACAAGUAGAGUGAUCGAAAGAUGAAAAGCACUUUGGAAAGAGAGUUAAAAAGUACGUGAAAUUGUUGAAAGGGAAGCGCUUGCAACCAGACCUGUCCGCGGGCGAUCAACCUCCCGUUCUCGGGGGUGCACUCGUCCGCGACCAGGCCAGCAUCGGUUCGGGCGGUCGGAUAAAGGCCUUGGGAAUGUAGCUCCCUCCGGGGAGUCUUAUAGCCCUGGGUGCAAUGCGGCCAGCCCGGACCGAGGACCGCGCUUCGGCUAGGAUGCUGGCGUAAUGGUUGUCAGCGACCCGUCUUGAAACACGGACCAAGGAGUCUAACAUCUAUGCGAGUGUUUGGGUGCCAAACCCAUGCGCGUAAUGAAAGUGAAUGGAGGUGAGAACCGUUCAGGGCGCAUCAUCGACCGAUCCAGAUGUCUUCGGAUGGAUUUGAGUAUGAGCAUAGCUGUUGGGACCCGAAAGAUGGUGAACUAUGCCUGAAUAGGGUGAAGCCAGAGGAAACUCUGGUGGAGGCUCGCAGCGGUUCUGACGUGCAAAUCGAUCGUCAAAUUUGGGUAUAGGGGCGAAAGACUAAUCGAACCAUCUAGUAGCUGGUUCCUGCCGAAGUUUCCCUCAGGAUAGCAGUAACGAUUUCAGUUUUAUGAGGUAAAGCGAAUGGUUAGAGGCCUUGGGGUUGAAACAACCUUAACCUAUUCUCAAACUUUAAAUAUGUAAGAAGUCCUUGUUACUUAGUUGAACGUGGACAUUUGAAUGUACCGUUACUAGUGGGCCAUUUUUGGUAAGCAGAACUGGCGAUGCGGGAUGAACCGAACGCGAGGUUAAGGUGCCGGAAUGUACGCUCAUCAGACACCACAAAAGGUGUUGAUUCAUCUAGACAGCCGGACGGUGGCCAUGGAAGUCGGAAACCGCUAAGGAGUGUGUAACAACUCACCGGCCGAAUGAAUCAGCCCUGAAAAUGGAUGGCGCUCAAGCGUGCUACCCAUACCUCGCCGCCAGGGUAGAAACGAUGCCCUGGCGAGUAGGCAGGCGUGGGGG
rnacentral:rRNA from 1 species